rnacentral:rRNA from 1 species
AUUGAACGCUGGCGGAAUGCUUUACACAUGCAAGUCGAACGGUAGAGGGGGCAACCCCUUGAGAGUGGCGAACGGGUGAGUAAUAUAUCGGAACGUGCCCAGUCGUGGGGAUAACGUAGCGAAAGUUACGCUAAUACCGCAUACGAUCUAAGGAUGAAAGCGGGGGACUCGCAAGAGCCUCGCGCGAUUGGAGCGGCUGAUAUCAGAUUAGGUAGUUGGUGGGGGUAAAGGCUCACCAAGCCAACGAUCUGUAGCUGGUCUGAGAGGACGACCAGCCACACUGGAACUGAGACACGGUCCAGACUCCUACGGGAGGCAGCAGUGGGGAAUUUUGGGACAAUGGACGCAAGUCUGAUCCAGCCAUUCCGCGUGCAGGAUGAAGGCCCUCGGGUUGUAAACUGCUUUUGUACGGAACGAAAGGUUUCUAUUAAUACUAGGAGCUCAUGACGGUACCGUAAGAAUAAGCACCGGCUAACUACGUAGCCAGCAGCCGCGGUAAAGUG